GACGAACGCUGGCGGCGUGCUUAACACAUGCAAGUCGAACGGUAAGGCCCUUCGGGGUACACGAGUGGCGAACGGGUGAGUAACACGUGGGUGAUCUGCCCUGCACUUCGGGAUAGGCCUGGGAAACUGGGUUUAAUACCGGAUAGGACCACUGCCUGCAUGGGUGGUGGUGGAAAGCUUUUGCGGUGUGGGAUGGGCCCGCGGCCUAUCAGCUUGUUGGUGGGGUGAUGGCCUACCAAGGCGACGACGGGUAGCCGGCCUGAGAGGGUGACCGGCCACACUGGGACUGAGAUACGGCCCAGACUCCUACGGGAGGCAGCAGUGGGGAAUAUUGCACAAUGGGCGCAAGCCUGAUGCAGCGACGCCGCGUGAGGGAUGACGGCCUUCGGGUUGUAGACCUCUUUCAGCACCGACGAAGCGCAAGUGACGGUAGGUGCAGAAGAAGGACCGGCCAACUACGUGCCAGCCGCCGCAGUAA
rnacentral:rRNA from 1 species